rnacentral:rRNA from 1 species
UAUUAUUUUGGAAUGUUAAUUGUUUUGUAUUUGAGUAGUAUUAGUUAUGUUCUUGAAACUUAAAGAAUUUGGCGGUAUCUCAUUCCGUCCAGAGGAAUCUGUCUCGUUAUCGAUAGUCCGCGUUGGACCUUACUUAGUAUAUUUGGUUUGUAUACCGCCGUUUAUUGAUUAUCUUUUUAGAGUUUAUUUAAUUUUCUGGUUUCUUUAUUUUGGUUUAUUUCAGGUCAAGGUGCAGCUUUUUUCUAAGUGGAUUGAUGGAUUACAUUGUUAUUUGUUUCUGGAUUGUUGAUUUAAAUAUUGGUAUGAAAUUGGAUUUGGUUGUAAUAAUUUGUAGAUUGUUAUUAUGAUAAUUGGUUCUGGGAUAUGCACACAUCGCCCGUCGCUCUCGUUGGUUUUUAAUGAG